rnacentral:rRNA from 1 species
GACGAACGCUGGCGGCGUGCCUAACACAUGCAAGUGGAGCGACGAACCAGGCUUCGGCCUGGGGCAAAGCCGCGAACGGGUGAGUAACACGUGGGUAACCUGCCCUGAUGAUUGGGACAACCCGAGGAAACUCGGGCUAAUACCGAAUGUGCCCUCCGGCCUCAAGGCCGCUGGGGAAAGGAAGCUUCGGCCUCCGCAUCGGGAUGGGCCCGCGGCCCAUUAGCUUGUUGGUGAGGUAACGGCNCACCAAGGCGACGAUGGGUAGCUGGUCUGAGAGGACGAUCAGCCACACUGGGACUGAGACACGGCCCAGACCCCUACGGGAGGCAGCAGUGGGGAAUCUUGCGCAAUGCGCGAAAGCGUGACGCAGCAACGCCGC